GAUGAAGAACGUAGCGAAAUGCGAUAAGUAAUGCGAAUUGCAGAAUUUCCGUGAGUCAUCGAAGCUUUGAACGCACAUUGCGCCCACUGGUAUUCCGGUGGGCAUGCCUGUUCGAGCGUCAUUAUCCUCCCUCAAACCCCGGGUUUGGUGUUGGACCCAAGUUGUGUGAACAACUGGUCUCAAAGACAAUGACGGCGUCCGUGGGACCCUCGGUGCAACGAGCUUUUAGGAGCACGCAUCGAGUUGCAAGGACCUUCCGGGCCGGUCUCCUUUACCAUUUUACAAGGUUGACCUCGGAUCAGGUAGGAAUACCCGCUGAACUUAAGCAUAUCAAUAAGCGGAGGA
rnacentral:misc_RNA from 1 species